rnacentral:rRNA from 1 species
GGCCUACCAUGGUGGUAACGGGUAACGGGGUGUUAGGGCACGACACCGGAGAGGGAGCCUGAGAAACGGCUACCACAUCCAAGGAUGGCAGCAGGCGCGCAAAUUACCCAAUCCCGACACGGGGAGGUAGUGACAAUAAAUAACAAUACGGGGUUCUUACGGAUCUCGUAAUUGGAAUGAGUACAAUUUAAAUCUCUUAACGAGGAACAAUUGGAGGGCAAGUCUGGUGCCAGCAGCCGCGGUAAUUCCAGCUCCAAUAGCGUAUAUUAAAGUUGUUGCAGUUAAAAAGCUCGUAGUUGAAUUUCGGGAUCAAUAUGUCGGUCGUGCCUCGGUACGUACUGGUAUCAUUGGUUUCUCCCUUCUGAUGAACCAUGAUGCCAUUAAUUUGGCGUCGUGGGGAAUCAGGACUGUUACUUUGAAAAAAUUAGAGUGUUUAAAGCAGGCUCACGCUUGAAUACAUUAGCAUGGAAUAAUGAAAUAGGACGUUUGAUUCUAUUUUGUUGGUUUCUAGGAUCGACGUAAUGAUUAAUAGGGAUAGUUGGGGGCAUUAGUAUUCAAUUGUCAGAGGUGAAAUUCUUGGAUUUAUUGAAGACUAACUACUGCGAAAGCAUUUGCCAAGGAUGUUUUCAUUAAUCAAGAACGAAAGUUAGGGGAUCGAAGACGAUCAGAUACCGUCGUAGUCUUAACCAUAAACUAUGCCGACUAGGGAUCGGAUGAUGUUAAUUUUUUAAUGACUCAUUCGGCGCCUUACG